AAGUCGUAACAAGGUUUCCGUAGGUGAACCUGCGGAAGGAUCAUUACGAAUAAGUCCGAGCUGGGUCUCACUAGUGAGACUUGGCGGGGUAUUCUCAUAGUGUGCACUACGAUUUGACGUUGGUGGAAGGCUUGUAUGAGUCGACCACCACACUUGAUUACCUUUACUUUAUUUUGAACCUAUAGCGACUCGUUACUGAAUCGCUCUUGUGGGUAUACAACUUUCAGCAAUGGAUCUCUAGGCUCUCC
rnacentral:misc_RNA from 1 species